CAUCUCUUUAAGGUAAUGAUUUAAAGUAUAAUCUGCCCACUGAGUAAUUAAAUGGCCGCAGUAAUUUGACUGUGCAAAGGUAGCAUAAUAAUUAGUUUUUUUAUUGGAAGCUGGAAUGAAGGAUUGGACGAGAGAAUUACUGUCUUUAUUAUAUUUAUUUUGAAUUUUAUUUUUUAGUGAAAAGGCUAAAAUUUUUAAAUUAGACGAGAAGACCCUAAAGAAUUUGAUUUUAAUAAUUUAUUUUAGAAUUUUUUUUAGUUAAAGUUUAAUUGGGGUGAUUUCAAAAUUAAAUUAACUUUUGAUUAUUUGAGCAUAGAUGGUUGUAUUUUUGAAUCAUUAUUGAUUGAAGUUAAUUACCUUAGGGAUAACAGCGUAAUUUUUUUUGUAAGAUCUAAUUAUAGGAAGAGUUUGCGACCUCGAUGUUGGAUUAAAAUAAGGUUUUGGUGAAGGUGCUAGAAUAUUAAGUCUGUUCGACUUUUAAAAUUUUACAUGAUCUGAGU
rnacentral:rRNA from 1 species